rnacentral:rRNA from 1 species
ACUCCUACGGGAGGCAGCAGUGGGGAAUAUUGCACAAUGGGCGCAAGCCUGAUGCAGCCAUGCCGCGUGUAUGAAGAAGGCCUUCGGGUUGUAAAGUACUUUCAGCAGUGAGGAAGGUGGUAGUGUUAAUAGCACUAUCAUUUGACGUUAGCUGCAGAAGAAGCACCGGCUAACUCCGUGCCAGCAGCCGCGGUAAUACGGAGGGUGCGAGCGUUAAUCGGAAUUACUGGGCGUAAAGCGCAUGCAGGUGGUUUGUUAAGUCAGAUGUGAAAGCCCGGGGCUCAACCUCGGAAUUGCAUUUGAAACUGGCAGACUAGAGUACUGUAGAGGGGGGUAGAAUUUCAGGUGUAGCGGUGAAAUGCGUAGAGAUCUGAAGGAAUACCAGUGGCGAAGGCGGCCCCCUGGACAAAGACUGACGCUCAGAUGCGAAAGCGUGGGGAGCAAACAGGAUUAGAUACCCUGGUAGGCAAGCG